rnacentral:tRNA from 1 species
GCGGUCGUGGCGGAAUUGGCAGACGCGCUAGGUUCAGGUCCUAGUGGGGCUAAACACCCCGUGGAGGUUCGACUCCUCUCGACCGCA